AUGGACUUGUGCUCCCUGCCCCCAUGGUGCUGUGCUGGACGCGUGCUCCGCGGCUCCUCCUCCACGGUCUCGCACGGGAAGGGCGAGGGCGAGUCCUGGUGGCUGAUGCGUGUGGGUGCCAAUGUGGUGCCUGUUAAGAUUUCCACUGAUUUCUUCUCCGUUCAAAAUUGUCUAGCCAGCAACCUCUCUGCCUGGUUUCCAGUGAUAGUUGACAUCAGGAAGAAACUCACAAAGUUCAGUAAUGCCCAUGUUAAGUACACUAGCAGAAACAAAAACAUGCUGGCUCACCUCCUAGCUGCUCGCGCCAGGAGUCACGGAAAUAUGCAAAUGAUGGCUGGGCGUACUAGAUGA
rnacentral:rRNA from 1 species